GCUUAUCUUCUCCCGUCCCCUGCAACUGGAAGGAAGGAACACGUCCGCGCCAGCCAAGCAGAGAGGGGAUCCCGCAUCCAUGGAGGUGGUGGGCGGCGUUUCGCUGAGGCCGUCGCCAGCGCCGGCGCGUAUCCGACGGACCACCCUGUCAUGCGUCGACGUAGGCCGACGCCUCGUUCUCAGGCCCGCAGGGGCGCCGCUGGGCCAGCUGCCGGCGAGGCGCGCGCUGGUAGUGGAGGCCCGGGGGAGGAGCUGGUCGGAACGGCAGAUGCAGCAGCAGCGGCGCAUGCCGCAGCUGCCCAAGAUCGAGGACGACGGCAACCCGCGAUUCGUCAUCUUCAUCCGCACCGCCAAUGUCUACUUCUGGUACCCGCUCAACAUCAUCACGGGCGGGACGACGGCGAAGAUCAUGCUUGCUGCUAAGGACAACUUCCUCGGCAAGUACAUCUACAAGGACACGCUCGCCAGGAACCUCGCUGCCGUCAUUUACAAAGAUGAGGAUGAGAUUAUAGACACAGCAAAAGAGCAGUACCGUGUGCUCAAGACCGAAAAUGAGUUUCGGUAUGGCUACAAAGUUGUGGAGAAAGGGAACAUAAGGUCUGCUCUGACGACAAGCAAUGUGAUUGAAGUAUGUUUCCUUAGUUUUUCUCGAGUUCUGUCACAAUUCCAUAGACAUUAUUCUAGUUGAAGCCCUAUUAGUGGACAAAACUAAAUCGACAUAUGCUUUCAGACGGAGCUUCCAAAGAAAGACGAGCUCAAAACUGUGGUUGACAAGGUGAAGGACUUCUUUGGCGAUGUAACUGCUGGCGCCAAAGAAUCCUUUGCGCAGAUAACCGGGUCUGCUGUCAGCAAAGAGGAAGAGGAAGCAGAAAACAAAGAGAAGUUCCGCUCCAAGAGGCGAAAGAAGCAGCGGAAGUCGAAGGAGGGCCUCAAGACGGAGAAAUGAUUCAGUCACUCAGCACAUUGUCAGACAAGUAAAGCAUCGAUCGGCUGUAGUUUCGCUAUCCAUGUCCCAGAGCUGCUCUGUAAUUUGUCCAGCUUCUAAAUUUUUGCAAAGAGACAACGUGUAACUUCCUUGCGACUAACAUGUGUUUUGCCUUCUCACUAAAUUUCACAAAAUCCGGUGAAGGGGUUAAGGUUACUUUCUCAUUCCAA